AGAACGGAAAAAAGAAAGAGCUGCCACUUCCGAAGCGUAGCCCCGGCGUCCGGCAGGGCGACGUUCCCACCCGCACCCGGCUAGCCUCGGUGCCGGGCACCCUGCCCAGUUUUCACUCGCGGGGUCUCGCUGCCCCCGUGAGGCGAGCGACCCGACCCGCGAGUCCCCGGUCCCGCUGGCGCCCCUGCCUCGGGACAGCCUCACCCAGGACCUGCCUUCCCCGGAGCGGAACAGAAUCCCUAGUUUCAGAUGUUACAUGACUUGCAGCGUGUCCUGUCACAACCUCCCUUCUUCAUUCUCUGCUGUGUGAGAGGAAAUGGGAACACUCAUCGGCAAAGGGAAUUUCUUAAGGAACUCUUAUUGCUGGUGCUGCUGUUGUUUGAGACUUCCAGAAGCCCAUUUUCUCCUGUUAUUGGACGGACAAAAAAUAUUGCCUUGAGAAGUCACUCGCUGUGCCAUUGGUUGGCCCAUGACUCAGCAGAGGUUCUUCUCAGUAGUUGUCUCGAGGAGUCUGCUCAGACUUAGGUGCAAAUGCAGCCUGAAAAUCAAGAGAAAAUUCUCAGAAGUGUUCUACAGACAUACUUUGAAGAUAUUUCAGGUUUGGUUCCAGAUCACCACAGUAAAGCAAAUAUAGAAAUAAAGCAAGUCAAAUGAGGUUUUUGGUUUCCCA
rnacentral:lncRNA from 1 species